UCUCCGCCGCUGUCCGCCUCUCCGCCGCGCCGCCGCUGUCCGCCUCUCCGCCGCUGUCCGCCUCUCCGCCGCUGUCCGCCUCUCCGCCACGCCGGCGCUGUGUGCCUUUGCGAGGGCGGAGCUGAGUUCUCCUUUGCACAGACUUCGGAGAUACAGCGAAGGCAGAGCAAUGUUCUCCUCAGCACAGACCCGGGCGGGCGGGCCGGUGGCACCGCGAGGGCGGAGCUGCGUUCUGCUCUGCACAGACCUUGGGGGCACUGCCUCGCUUUGGGACACCUCGGGGCCGCAUCGACGGUGAAUAAAAUCCUUCCUGUUUGCAGCCCUGUUUGUGGUUGGUGGCAGCGAUGGACACUGCAGCCAGCCAGAGCGUAGAAAGGCGUUGGGUGAAAGAAGAUGGCCAUGGAGACAGACAGCAGCAUGGUCAGAGUGGUAGGAGCCGGCCAUCAGCGAGAGCUGCUCCAUGCCUGGCUGCUGGAUGCUAGAGCCUGCGGCCCACUGGCUUGCCUCACUGUGGUUGCUGGUGGUGGUGACAGAGACUGCAGCAUGAACAGAGUGGCUUUUCUGGCUUUGCCUGCCCAGCUGCUCCGUGCCAGGAGGAGGAGGAGACACCUUGAGCCUGCGACACCACGGCUUGCCUCGCUGCGGGUGGGUGGCAGUGACGGAGAUUGCAGUGCGCCAGAGCGAUGAAAUGAUAAGAUGACUUGAGAUGAGAUGAAAUGACGAAAUGAUGAGAUGAGAUGAGAUGAUGAGAUGAAAUUUUGAGAUGAAAUGGUGAGUAGAAACGAUGAGAUGAAAUGAUGAGACGAAAUGACAAAAUUGAAAAGAAAUUGAAAGGAGAUGAGAUGAGAUGAAAUGAGAUGAAAUGAUGAGAUGAUGGAUGAAAUGAUGAGAUGAAACGAGAUGAAAUGAUGAGAUGAAAUGAAAUAAUGAAAUGAUAUGAAAUAAUGAAAUUGAAAUGAGAUGAGAUGAGAUGAAAUAAUGAGAUAAAAUGAUGAGAUGAAAUGAGAUGAAUGAUGAGAUGAAAUGAUGAGAUGAAAUGAGAUGAAAAAUGAGAUGAAAUGAAAUAAUGAAAUGAGAUGAAAUGAAAUGAAAUAAUGAAAGGAAAUUAUGAAAUGUAAUGAUGAAAUUGAAAUGAAAUUGAAAUGAGUUGAAAUGAUGAGAUGUAAUGAUGAAAUGAAAUGAUGAGAUGAGAUGAAAUGAGAUGCAAUAAUGAGAUGAAAUGCGAUAACGAGAUGAGAUGAGAUGAAAUCAUGAGAUGAAAUGAUGAAAUGAAAUGAUGGAUGAAAUGAUGAGAUGAAAUGUAAUGAGAUGAAAUGACAAAUGAAAUAAUGAAAUGAGAUGAAAUGAAAUAAUGAAAUGAUGAGAUGAGAAGAAAUGAUGAGAUGAAAUGAUGAAAUGAUGAGAUGAGAUAAAAUGAGAUGAAAUGAUGAGAUGAAAUGAUGAGAUGAAAUGAAAUGAUGAGAUGAGAUGAAAUAUGAGAUGAAAUGACAUAAUGAAAUGAAAUGAUGAAAUGGAAUAAUGAAAUGGAAAUGAUGAGAUGAGAUGCAAUGAGUUGAAAUGAGAUGAAAUGAUGAAAUGAUGAGAUGAAACGAUGAGAUGUGAUGAAAUGAUGACAUGAAAUGAUGACAUAAAAUGAGAUGAAAUGAGAUGUAAUGAUGAAAUGAGAUGAGAUGAAAUGAGAUGAAAUGAUGAGAUGAGAUAAAAUGAUGAUAUGAAAUGAGAUGAGUGAUGAGAUGAAAUGAUGAGAUGAGAUGAUGAGAUGAAAUGAUGAGAUGAACUGAUGAGAUGAAAUGAAAUGAAAUAAUGAAAUUGAAAUAAAAUUGAAAUGAGAUGAAAUGAUAAGAUGAGAUGAUGAAAUAAAAUGAUGAAAUGAUGAGAUGAAAUGAUGAGAUGAGAUGACAUGAAAUAAUGAAAUGAAAUAAUGACAUGAAAUUGAAAUGAGAUGAGAAGAUAUGAGAUGAGAUGAAAUGAUGAAAUGAUAAGAUGAAAAGAGUUGAUGAGAUGAUGAGAUAAAAUGAUGAGAUGAAAGAUGAGAUGAAAUGAUGAGAUGAAAGAUGAGAUGAAAUGAUGAGAUGAAAUGGGAUGAAAUGAAAUUAGACGAAAUGUAAUGAGAUGAAAUGAAAUGACAUAAAUGAAAAAAUGAAAUGAAAUAAUGAAAUGAGAUGAAAUGCCGAGAUGAAUGAUGGAUUUGAAAUGAUGAGAUGCAAUGAUGAGAUGAAAUCAUGAAAUCAUGAGAUGAGAUGAGAUGUAAUGAUGAGAGGAAAUGAUGAGAUGUAAUGAAAUCCCCCGCACUGCAUCCGAUGAAAUGAAAUAAUGCAAGGAAAUUGAAUUGACCCUAUCACCCGGAAUGAGCUAAAAUGAGAUGAAAUAAGAAAUGAUGUUUUGUUUUGUUGACAUGCUGAGGUGAGAUGAGAUGAGAUGAGACGAAAGAUGAGAUGAGAUGAGACGAAACGAUGAGAUGAAAUGAAAGGAAGAGAUGAAAGGCCGAGAUGAAAUGAUGAGAUGAGGUGAGAUGAAAUGAGAUGAAACAAGAUGAAAUGAUGAAAUGAUGAGAUGAGAAGAAAUGAGAUGAAAUGAGAUGAGAUAAAAUGAUGAGAUGAAAUGAAGUGAAAUGAAAUGAAAUAAUGAAAUGAAAUUGAAAUGAGAUGAGAUGAAAUGAGAUAAAAUGAUGAGAUGAAAUGAUGAGAAGAAAUGAGAUGAAAUGAUGAAAUGAUGAGAUGAGAUGAUGAGAUGAAAAAUGAUGAGAUGAAAUGGUGAGAUGAAAUGAAAUGAAAUAAUGAAAUGAGAUGAAAUGAAAAGAAAUGAUGAUAUUGAAAUGAAAUUGAAAGAUGAGAUGAAAUGAAAUGUUGAAAUGAAAUGAUGAAAUGAGAUGUGACAUGAAAUGAUGAGCUGAAAUGAUGAGAUGAAAUGAAGUGAAAUGAGAUUAGAUGAUGAGAUGAAAAAUGAUGAGAUGAAAAAUGAGAUGAAAUGAUGAAUUGAGAUGAGAUGAGAUGAAAUAAUGAAAUUAGGUGAAAUAAUGAAAUGAGAUGAAAUAAUGAAAUGAAAUUGAAAUGAGAUGAGAAGAAAUGAGAUGAAAUGUUGAAAGGAGGAAAUGAUGAGAUGAGGAGAUGAAAUGAUGAGAUGAAAUGAAUUGAGAUGAAAUGAUGAGAUGAAAAAUGAUAUGAAAAAUGAUAUAAAAAAUAUGAGAUGAAAUGAAAUGAGAUGAUAUGAAAUGACAUAAUGAAAUAAAUGAAAUUAGAUGAAAUGAAAUGAAAUAGUGAAAUGAAAUGAUGAAAUGAAAUAAUGAAAAUGAAAUGGAAAUGAGAUGAGAUGAGAUUUGAUGAAAUGAGAUGAUAUGAAAUGAUGGGAUGAGAUGAGAUGAGAUGAAAUGAUGAGAUAAAAUGAUGAGAUGAAAUGAUGAGAUAAAAUGAUGAGAUGAAAUGAUGAGGUGAAGUGAUGCACUGUCACGUGUGUGUCUAUUCUUUUUCCCAACCAACAAAAAUUAUAAAUCAUUAAUUUUUUAUUAUUUAAGAAUAUUCUUAAGAGUUGAAGGAAAAAUAAUAUCUGUACAUUAUGGGUUACAAUGUAAGUAUAAAUAAUACAUAAAUAUAUUAAAACUUACAAAGAAUAUGUUUUGGAAUCGAAUAUACCAUGCUUCUGUGAUGACAGUUAUUUCAUGCUGGUUGUCACAAUUUUACAUGAAAAACUAAUGAAAAAAUGUUUUUAACUGUUUCUAAAAAUAACAGUUUCCAAAACAGUUUUACAUUCGAAAUAUGAAAAAGAUGUCUUUGUGUUCCUUAAUCUGAUGAGAUUUUCACACUCUGCACAUGAUAAUUGUUAGAUUUUUAUUGUGUUGAUAAAUUGUAUAUCAAAAAAUGUUAUUACCUCUUAAAUUAGGAUUUUUAGGUGAUAUAGGCAGAAAGGAAGGCAAGUUUUUAUAACUUUGUCUAAAUGAACUUUGUAAAUGCCUGAGUAUUAAAAGAUAGCAUGUCUAUAAAUCACAAUGUAUAUAUUACUGUAUGACCUAGGACCAAUCAAAACCAUUACCUCUGAUAACAUUAUAUUGUGCCCAGUAUAAAAUAGAUAUAAUAAUACCUCAAACUUAAAUCCAGGCAUUGUCAUUGAAUAUCUUAAGAAUAUGCAGCAAAGGUGCUUUUAAAAAUACAAGCUAGUGAUUGUACUAAAUUUGUAAAUCACAUAGGAUAGUGGGUCAUUUUAAGAAUAUUAUUUCAAUCUAUAAACGUGGAUGUCUUUCCUUUUUUGUGUUUUCUUUAAUUUCUUUCAUUAGUAUUUGUCAUUUUUGUUGUCGAAAUCUUUUACUUCCUUGGUUAAAUUUAUUUCUAAGUACAUUUUUGUAGCUAUUGUAAAAGGAAUUGCUUUCUUAAUUUCUUGUUUCAGCUAGUUUACUAUCAAUAUAUAGAAAUGCUACUGAUUUUUGUAUGUUGAUUUAUAUCCUGCAACUUUAUUAAUUUCAUGUAUCACCCUAAGAAGCUUUUGGUAGAGUCUUAUUUUUUUCCGUGUAUAAGAUCACAUUGUCUUUAAACAGGGACAGUUUGACUGUCUCCUUUCCAAUUCAGAUGUCCUUUAUUUCUUUCUCUCACCUAAUUGUCCUGGCUAAGACUUUCACUAUGUGAAAUAUGAUUGGUGAGAAUAGGCAUCCUUUUCCUGUUCCAGUAAAAUCUUUUUCUUGUUCACAGUAAAAUCUUUCACGUUUUCCACACUCAGUAUGAUCUUAGCUGUAGAUUUGUCCUUUAUGUCCUUCUGUGUUAAGGCAUAUAUUUUCUAUACUAAAUUGUUGAGAGGUUUUUUGUCAUGUAAGAAUAUUUAAUUUUGCCAAACGCUUUUAUUGUGUUUAUUAAUUUAAUCAUAUGGUUUUCAGUAUAUAUCCAAAGGAAAGAAAAUCAGUAUAUCAAAGAGUUACCUGCACCCCCAUGUUUAUUACAGUACUAUUCACAAUAGCCAAGAUAUGGAAUCAACAAAAGUGUCCAUCAACAGAUGAAUGGAUAAAGAAAUGUGACAUACAUAUAUAAUGGAAUAUUAUUUAGUCAUAAUAAAGAACAAAAUCCUGUUAUUUGUGGCAACAAGAAUGCAAGUGGAGGGCAUUAUGUUAGGUGAAAUAAGCCUGGCAUAGAAACAUAAACACCACAUAACUACGUGUUCUCACUUAUGUAUGGAAGCUAAAAUUUUUAAUCCCGUAGAAGUAGAUAGUAGAGUUUUGGUUACCAUAUCCUGGAAAGAGUAGGAGAAAGAAGAGUAUAAGAAAAAUGUGGUUAAUACAUACAAAAUUACAGCUGGAGAGAAGGAAGAAGUUCUAGUUCUCUACAGCACUGUUGGGUGACUGUAGUUAAUGGGAAUUUAUUGUGUGUUUUCAAAUAACUAAAAUAAAAGAUUUUGAAUAUUCUCACUGCAAAGAAAUAAUACAUGAUUUAGGUAAUGGAUAUGAUAAUGACUCUGACUUGAUCUUUACACAUCGUAUAAAUAUAUCAAAAUAUCACUCUGUACCCCAUAACAUGUACAUUUAUUAUAUGUCAAUUAAAGUAAAUUUAAGGGGGAGGAGCCAAGAUGGCCAAAUAGGAACAGCUCCAGUCUACAGCUCCCAGCGUGAGCGACACAGAAGACGGUGAUUUCUGCAUUUCCAUCUGAGGUACCGGGUUCAUCUCACUAGGGAGUGCCAGACAGUGGGCACAGGUCAGUGGGUGCGCGCACCGUGCGCGAGCCAAAGCAGGGCGAGGAAUUGCCUCACUUGGGAAGCGCAAGGGGUCAGGGAGUUCCCUUUCCGAGUCAAAGAAAGGGGUGAUGGACGGCACCUGGAAAAUCGGGUAACUCCCACCCGAAUACUGCGCUUUUCCGAUGGACUUAAAAAACGGCGCACCACGA
rnacentral:lncRNA from 10 species